rnacentral:rRNA from 1 species
UACGUAGGGGGCAAGCGUUGUCCGGAUUUAUUGGGCGUAAAGAGCGUGUAGGCGGCCAUACAGGUCCGUUGUGAAAACUGGAGGCUUAACCUCCAGACGUCGAUGGAAACCGUAUGGCUAGAGUCCGGAAGAGGAGAGUGGAAUUCCUGGUGUAGCGGUGAAAUGCGCAGAUAUCAGGAAGAACACCCGUGGCGAAGGCGGCUCUCUGGGACGGUACUGACGCUGAGACGCGAAAGCCAGGGGAGCAAACGGG